AGGCCCAUAGUUCAGUGGCAGAGCAUUUGCCCUUUAUGCAGAAGAUCUCAGGUUCAAUCCCUGGUAUCUCAGUUUGGGGCUG